UACGUAGGGGGCUAGCGUUGUCCGGAUUUAUUGGGCGUAAAGGGCUCGUAGGCGGCCAACUAAGUCAGACGUGAAAUCCCUCGGCUUAACCGGGGAACUGCAUCUGAUACUGGAUGGCUUGAGUUCGGGAGAGGGAUGCGGAAUUCCAGGUGUAGCGGUGAAAUGCGCAGAUAUCAGGAGGAACACCGAUGGCGAAGGCAGGUCUCUGGGCCACUACUGACGCUGAGAAGCGAAAGCAUGGGGAGCGAACAGG
rnacentral:rRNA from 1 species